rnacentral:rRNA from 1 species
AUGAACGCUGGCGGCGCGCCUAACACAUGCAAGUCGAACGGACGAUGAAAAGCUUGCUUUUCAAAGUUAGUGGCGGACGGGUGAGUAACGCGUGGGUAACCUGCCUCAUACAGGGGAAUAGCAGCUGGAAACGGCUGAUAAAACCGCAUAAGCGCACAGUGCCGCAUGGCACAGUGUGAAAAACUCCGGUGGUAUGAGAUGGACCCGCGUCUGAUUAGCUGGUUGGCGGGGUAACGGCCCACCAAGGCGACGAUCAGUAGCCGGCCUGAGAGGGUGAUCGGCCACAUUGGGACUGAGACACGGCCCAAACUCCUACGGGAGGCAGCAGUGGGGAAUAUUGCACAAUGGGGGAAACCCUGAUGCAGCGACGCCGCGUGAAGGAAGAAGUAUCUCGGUAUGUAAACUUCUAUCAGCAGGGAAGAUAAUGACGGUACCUGACUAAGAAGCCCCGGCUAACUACGUGCCAGCAGCCGCGGUAAUACGUAGGGGGCAAGCGUUAUCCGGAUUUACUGGGUGUAAAGGGAGCGUAGGCGGCGGAGCAAGUCAGAAGUGAAAGCCCGGGGCUCAACCCCGGGACGGCUUUUGAAACUGCCCUGCUUGAUUUCAGGAGAGGUAAGCGGAAUUCCUAGUGUAGCGGUGAAAUGCGUAGAUAUUAGGAGGAACACCAGUGGCGAAGGCGGCUUACUGGACUGACAAUGACGCUGAGGCUCGAAAGCGUGGGGAGCAAACAGGAUUAGAUACCCUGGUAGUCCACACUGUAAACGAUGAUUGCUAGGUGUGGGGGGUCUGACCCCUUCCGUGCCGGAGCUAACGCAAUAAGCAAUCCACCUGGGGAGUACGACCGCAAGGUUGAAACUCAAAGGAAUUGACGGGGGCCCGCACAAGCAGUGGAGUAUGUGGUUUAAUUCGAAGCAACGCGAAGAACCUUACCAGGCCUUGACAUCCUGCUGACCGGUGAGUAAUGUCACCUUUCCUUCGGGACAGGAGAGACAGGUGGUGCAUGGUUGUCGUCAGCUCGUGUCGUGAGAUGUUGGGUUAAGUCCCGCAACGAGCGCAACCCCUGUUGCCAGUUGCCAGCAUUAAGUUGGGGACUCUGGCGAGACUGCCGGUGACAAGCCGGAGGAAGGCGGGGAUGACGUCAAAUCAUCAUGCCCCUUACGGCCUGGGCUACACACGUGCUACAAUGGCGUAAACAAAGGGAAGCAAGAGGGUGACCUGGAGCGAAUCCCAUAAAUAACGUCCCAGUUCGGACUGUAGUCUGCAACCCGACUACACGAAGCUGGAAUCGCUAGUAAUCGCGAAUCAGCAUGUCGCGGUGAAUACGUUCCCGGGUCUUGUACACACCGCCCGUCACACCAUGGGAGUUGGAAAUGCCCGAAGUCAGUGACCUGACCGCAAGGAGGGAGCUGCCGAAGGUGGAGCCGAUGACUGGGGUG